rnacentral:rRNA from 1 species
UACGUAGGGGGCAAGCGUUGUCCGGAAUCAUUGGGCGUAAAGCGCGUGUAGGCGGCUCUGUGAGUCCGUUCUGAAAGUCCGGGGCUCAACCCCGGGAGGCGGAUGGAUACUGCAGAGCUCGAGUCCGGAAGAGGCGAGUGGAAUUCCUGGUGUAGCGGUGAAAUGCGCAGAUAUCAGGAGGAACACCGAUGGCGAAGGCAGCUCGCUGGGACGGUACUGACGCUGAGACGCGAAAGCGUGGGGAGCAAACAGG